UGGGGAAUUUUGGACAAUGGGGGCAACCCUGAUCCAGCCAUGCUGCGUGAGUGAAGAAGGCCUUCGGGUUGUAAAGCUCUUUCGGACAGAAAGAAAUCGCACGGGAUAACACCCUGUGUGGAUGACGGUACUGUAAGAAGAAGCACCGGCUAACUACGUGCCAGCAGCCGCGGUAAUACGUAGGGUGCGAGCGUUAAUCGGAAUUACUGGGCGUAAAGCGUGCGCAGGCGGUUUAUUAAGACAGAUGUGAAAUCCCCGGGCUCAACCUGGGAACUGCAUAUGUGACUGGUAGGCUAGAGUGUAGCAGAGGGGGGUAGAAUUCCACGUGUAGCAGUGAAAUGCGUAGAGAUGUGGAGGGAUACCGAUGGCGAAGGCAGCCCCCUGGGUUAACACUGACGCUCAUGCACGAAAGCGUGGGGAGCAAACAGGAUUAGAUACCCUGGUAGUCCACGCCCUAAACGAUGUCAACUAGGUGUUGGGGGAGGAGACUUCCUUAGUACCGCAGCUAACGCGUGAAGUUGACCGCCUGGGGAGUACGGCCGCAAGGUUG
rnacentral:rRNA from 1 species